UUUAACUGCUGAUGCAAAACCUUCCAGAACUCCUUUUCUCUUUGCCAUGGCAAUCAGCAAUGUUCCGGAGAGUAUAUGCUCUGUAAGCCUUGGUCUUGGAGAGAGGAUGAUGCAGAAAAGAGUCCCAUUCACCUCAUGAUGGCUAUUUAAAUUUAAGGUAUCGACUUCAUUCUACGAAUGGAAGUAGGAGGAGAGUGCCGUGUGGUCUUUAUCACUCAUGCUCAAGUGAGCACAACCGGGUCCGACGUUGUCUUCCAGGAUCAGGUGGCCAAGCUGGAGUGUCCCUUGUGAGGAAUUCCUACUAAGGAAUCUCUGCCAGUCUUGCCAGGGUGGCUUGCAGGGCAAAAAUGGUGCCAAGGAGCUCUCCUUGCCAGUGCACGAGGCAUGCAGAUGCUGCCACGGAGCCUCCGCUCUAUGUAAGACCAGCCCUGAUCAUGCCUUUAAACAGUUUGAAUCCAGCUGGCAUUUUUUUCCCAAAAAGUUCAGCAAGCAUUAGAAUAUACGAGUCAGAACACAGAAGAGAAAUACAACUUGGAGAUGUAAAUUUCAGCACCAGCAUUUUAAUGAUCUUUGAUAAAAAGAGGCUCUUUUGGGACCCCCAAGUCUGUGAAAAAUAAAUCAGCCAUCUUCUGAUUCCUUGGGUACCAGUGGAAAAGUGUGCUGUGAAAAUGAAGUCUCCUGAAUUCAGGUCUUGCUACUCAAAGUGUGGUCCACAGGUCAGCAAUAUCGUCCUUGAAUUUUCCAGUCUCUCUCCACAUCGACUGAAUCAGAUUCUUCAUUUCAACAAAAUUUCCAGAAAUUGCCACAGCCACCCCGACUGACCUUCAGCAAGCAGCAACCUGUUCAGUCAUCGGCGAUUAACAUGAAGGCAACCCACUCCACCAGCAAAAAGAUAGGACUUGCCGAAAACUCAGAUGAUGGUUAGCAUUUUACAGUAAUAAAGUAUUUUUAACUAAGCUUCAUCUCAAUUCUGCCCUCCAGAAGGCAGGAAGUUGGGCACAACUUUGCUGUAAAGUACACCACAAAAAUUAAAGAACUCUUCUGGGUGCAGUUGGAAUAAUGAUGUCCAAUAUGUGUUAAGUGAUGACAAUAUACCAUUUUAAAUUCUUUUAGUUGUUACCACACUGAAUUCUUCUAAUAAAUCUAUUAGGUACUUACUAUUUUCAUCCCUACUUCCCAGCUGAGGAAACCACCCCUGAGAGGCUGAAGGAGAAUAUUUCCCAAGGCCACAGAGCUAAGUAAGUGGUGAUGCUAAAAUCAGGCCUGGGGAGGCUUUCUCCUGAACCUGCAUUGUUAAAUAACCACUGUGUUAUGCUCCAUCUAGGACAGAAAUUGUACUAGUCUACAGCAACAUCUUAUUGGAUAGAAGUUUAAAAGUUCAAAAAAGAAGGUAAGAGGUAAGGAAAAGAUACUGGCUCUACUAAUCUUUAAUGACUCGGCAUACUUUAAUAGUGUCUGUAUGCUCACAUGUCUCCUUUACAACUUUGAUUUUAAAAGAUGCUGUAAGCACACUGAACAGUUCUGAGCAUCUGUUUCUGGCAAUACUUUGCUGUUCAUAUUCACUGAUACAUCAAGUGUUAAAAUAGUAAAGUUAUUGUCCACAAUAGCUAUUUACUUAAAAAUAUUAUUAUGACACUCUCAUUUCAUCAAGAAAAAUAUGUUAUGAACCUAAAAUUUCAGAAAAGCAGUUUAGCUGUCGUCACUGUCAUGUCAGUUUUGU